AAAGAAAUUUAACUUAAUUUUAUUAAAAUAUUGAACAGACAACUUUCUCACCAAGUUCACAAUAAAACGUUUAACCUCCUGAAAGAGACAUGAUAAACAAAUACAAAUUAGUUUCCAAAUCAUUUUAAAUAUUUAAGACAACUGCCAAAUGUCCAGCUCAUGAUAACCUACCCAUGACAGGACCGAUGAGAAUGUGUUGGUAUCUACAGAUCAUUUUACUCAGAGCUAGGAAACCAUUGUGUUUACUGUUGGAACAUAACCAUUGCUUUUGCUAAAAUGUGCAAAAUUUUCCAUCAUCACUUCUGCUCGCUGUCUGACAGGCUAUAAUUCCUCCCAAAAAAAAAAGACCCCCCCAAAAAAAAAACAAAGACGAUAGAAAGAAGUUAAAGACGACAAAGACAACAAAAAAAGACAUCAAUUUCCCAUAUCUACUCCAUUAUCAUUUAAGAUAAUGUACAAUCAACUACUACUGUGCAACUAAAUGGACUACAUCCAACGGCUUUGUUUGUGAUAACAAGAGGAAAAUGAAGUUGUGCAGGAUCUUAGUCCAGGCUUUGUUUCCUCUUAAGGCAGGUAAGCUUUAAAGGUCCUCUUCAUCAGAAACCAGCGCGACCAGAUAGAAGGGUGUGCUUCACAUCACAGAACCCGAAUCAAGAGAGACAUCUGUCUGUCUUGAGCUUCCUUCAAUGUCCAUUAAUCGCUGUCUUAGGUAGGUGUGCUGUGCAUGUAUUUACAACUUUUACCAAAUGCAUUGCCACCGUGGAGCCCCUGCAUACUUCUUAAUACGUGCAGUGAAAAGCAAGGCACCACCUCCAUGUAUCUUAUGCCAACCUCUUCAUGUGUACAUCCCACUGCGAUCCAUCAUCACUCACUCCCUUCCAUAGUUAAUCACAGAUGUACUUUUUCUGACUCUUUUUCCUUACAUAAUGUAUUGAUUAGCAUGGGUUUAUGUAUGGUUGUAUGUACAUUUUUAUGUCUAUAUUGGCAUCUGUAUGUAGAGAAUUUGGUUGUACUGAGCAUUUGGACUAUUUCGAAGAGGAGGGGAAGUGGAACGAGAGGAGGAGGAGGGGCAGUGCUGUCUGAGCCUCUAGAAAACAGGCAGUCUGGUGGAGGUCAGAGUACAGGCAUUGAUAUCCUCAGUGUGAGAGGCUCUGUGCAGGGACGGUUCUGAGGCACUGCGGUUUAUCUUAGGGAGGGCGUGCUGGAGAAGUUCGAUGGAGGACAAGAUCUGUGG
rnacentral:misc_RNA from 1 species